rnacentral:misc_RNA from 1 species
AACGCACAUUGCGCCCAUUAGUAUUCUAGUGGGCAUGCCUGUUCGAGCGUCAUUUCAACCCUCAAGCCCUGCUGCUUGGUGUUGGGAGCCUGCCGUAGGGCAGCUCCUUAAAGCUAGUUGGCGGAGUUCUGGUAGGCUCUAAGCGUAGUAAUUACUUCUCGCUUCUGAGGCUGCUGGGACCACGGCCACUAAACCCCCUAUUUUUUUGUGGUUGACCUCGGAUCAGGUAAGAAUACCCGCUGAACUUAA